rnacentral:rRNA from 1 species
AACGUAGGAGGCAAGCGUUAUCCGGAUUUAUUGGGCGUAAAGCGCGUGCAGGCUGUUUGGAAAGUUGGAUGUGAAAGCUCCUGGCUUAACUGGGAGAGGUCGUUCAAAACUACCAAACUAGAGAAUGGGAGAGGGAAGUGGAAUUCCGGGUGUAGUGGUGAAAUGCGUAGAUAUCCGGAGGAACACCAGUGGCGAAAGCGGCUUCCUGGACCAUUUCUGACGCUUAGACGCGAAAGCUAGGGGAGCGAAC